AGUGCUCUUCAAACAUCGAUGACAUCUUUUUUGUUUUUUCCUGUUUUCUCUACCUAUCUGAUAAUGUAUUUCCACGGCUUACAUAUACUUUCUGUGAGCCGUGAUGUAUUUCAUCCUGCCAAGGAAUCCAAAAACAUCAGCUGUCUCCCGUUUCCUGAGAGUUCGCCGACCAGUUUUGCUUUCAAGCUGAAGAAAAAACUACAGUUUAACUUCACCAGGCACAAUCAUCAGAAUGAGAUGCAGGAAAAUAUUAACCCAGAAUGGUUUCGUGUUACCGUCCAGUGUGAGAAACAUUUCACAAAUGAUAAUAGUGUAUGCCUAAAAGGUUUGUAUUUGUGCGGAUCUGCAAAUUCGGUUUUUGUGGAAUAAUUCGACCAAGGGCUAUGAUGUAGCAGCGGUGGAGAGUAAGUCCAAUCAUACGGCUUCAUCCCACCCCGGGAGCAGAUGAGCGCUAGCGAAUGUUCUCAGGCGGUUGGAGUUCUGGAAGGGAACGACUGGUAACUUUAUGGGUAUAUAUGAAGCCGAAAACACCCACAACAAUGGGGUAACUAACAUAAAGCUCGCCGGUGACAAAGUGAUAGUCGCACGGUUGAGUGGAAGAAUCGAUUUUCUGAGACUGGAAACGUACACGCAAGGUUGUCAGAUCGAUUGGGGAUUUACGUCUGCAUAUGGGCGAACCCGCGAACGCACCGGUUCGGCAGGAAGCAUUAGUUUAUUUCCGCUAUCCGCCGGCUCAAAUCCGUCCACAGCGUUGCCAGCUCAACAUCACGUAUCCGAGGAGUAUCAUGGAGUUUCACAGCAGGGUCACCGUCGACAUGUUUGGAAGUGGCGGGCGGUACAGUCAUGACUGGCAGCCAGGGCCACACUGUUAAAGUGUUCCGGCUCGAUAGCGAUAGGUUUACGUCGAAAUAUGUAUAACUCGAAUUUUCCACUCACGUAAAUAUAGAUGGUGCGAUGGAAUGUUUUCUUGGGGGCAUUACCGCAUCGAGUUAGUUUUACAGAUUUAAAUAUUUUUUUCAAGACCUUAUAAUAGUUCCGGCUCGAUAGCCACCUAUUGCAGUUCACCCUAAACGGCCAUUGCGGUCCUAUCACAUGUAUUUUCAUAGGCCAGUGGCAGGCCGAUAUGGGCGCAUCUGGUUACCAGGAUGGUGUGCUAUGUGUGUGGGACUUGAUACGGGGUGCCUGUAUGUACAAAAUUGAAGCCCAUGACGACUCAAUCGUCGCACUUGCCUGUUCCCCGAGUUACGCAAUAUUGGUCGGACUGGACGAACGAAUACGGGUCUGGGAUAGAUUUCAGGGUCAGCCGCUCAACACCAUGACCGUCAGUUAUGCAUAUUCAUCGCAUGUGAUGCUGACGCGGUCCCUUCUCGUGACUGGAAAGCCUGGU